AGUGAGCCUGCUCGCGAUAGCGGUGGAUCAGUUGACGCCUGUGCUGGCUGAUCCACCGCUAUCGCGAGCAGGCUCACU
rnacentral:misc_RNA from 1 species